CACAGGUUAGCAGGCUGGUGUAUUAAUUAGCUUUUGCUGUGACAACAACACACUCAAUAUCUUGUUGGCUUGCAACAAAGAACAUUAAUUUCCUACUCUUGUGUCUGAAAAUCAGCUACAGAAGCUUCACUUCAAAAGUGAUUUGGGUUCAGAUCCUCUCCAAACGUGUUUUUAUCCCAGGAUCCAGGUUAAAAAAGCAUCUCCUACCAGGGGUGUUCUGUUUUCAUGGUCAAAGGCUGCAGCACAUACAGUGAGUAUGUCUCCGCUGCCUAGGCUUGGAACUGGGAUACAAUAUAUUUGUCAAAGCAAGUCACAUAAUCAAGCCCCCAGAUCAAUGUGACAGGACAUAUACUCUAAUCCACAGACAGUGUAAUUAUUUGAAUAACAAAAUCUACCACAGUCCUUCUUUUUAGUCAUAAAUAUCCACAUAAUUCAAAAUACAAAUUACAUUCACCCUUUCUUCAAUGAAGAAACCCUAAAGCUUUAUUCCAAUGUGGUAUCUUGCUUGAAAUCCAGGACCUCAGGGUAAUCGCUUUAUCUGGUCUAGAUAUAAGUCCUCUUGAUCCAGAGACCUCUGACCUAAAAUGACAAGUUAUCUGCUCUCAAAACAUUCAGCAUACAAUGUGGGACCAGAAACAGGAUAACUACAGAAAACACUCGUAUCCAGAAAAGGAUUCAGACUACAGAAGCCAUAGUUACAUGGAGCGUGUUCUGAAGCUUGAAUUCAGGAGUAAAUGAGGAUAAGCAAAUGACACAGUACAUUUAAAUGGCCUCUCUGUAAAUGUAGCACAUGAUUCUGCAAUGGCUAAGCUCCAUGUAAAGCACCUCUUCUUGGACUUGACUUUCCAGUGUGCCUUCUUCCUGUAAGUGACACAGGAGCAGCAAGGACUGCAGGAGCACACAACCUGCCCCACAAGAUCUGUUUCAUGCAGCCUUGGGUUUCCAGAGGAUUCAUUUCUAAUCUCAUCUAUUUUCUGAUAUGUCACACAGGAUGCUUAUAUUUAAAAAGCAGGACAAGACAGUCUGGAGAACUUUUCAGCUCCUGCUGUUAACACACUAACACGAAACAGACACUCUGGUGGACUCCCUGCAAGUAGGCUGGGAGCAGCUGAUGCUGAGGCUUGUCACAGCACUCAGAGAAGUUCCUGUGAGCCGGAAUUGUUGAAGCUAAGUAAAUUACUCUCCUGCUUGGGUGCUCCCCUUGCCUUACCUUUGUGCCUCUCUAGGGCUUGGGUUUUGCCCAGCUUGUGGCUGAUGAACCAGAACCUAACUCUGUAUGCUGAGCGAUUGCAAAAAUGAAGGCAUUCAUGGUGAUGAUGAUUUAAAUGGUAACCCUUGGAGACUCGGGUUUGGAAUCAGCAUCAUGAAACUGUCUAUAUUAUUGAAUGUGAAAAACACAAGUCAAACACAGCAAUGAAUUAAGUAGUACAAAAACGUACAGUUGUUUCCUGCAUUAACGUGUAAUGUUGAAGCUUCCCUAAGCACAUCAAGAGAAGUACAUUGCGGAAACUACUCGGGCUUCUGUUCUCAAAAGGCAGGCAGACUACUCCGUGCUAAACCAUCUAAAUGUAUUGUAACAUAAUUAGAGUUGUUCAGAGUUCUAGGGAACAGCCUGUCAAUUCUUCCUGGAUUUCCUUUUUAAUUUGCCUCGGGAGCAUAGAAGACACUUCAGAGCCUAUUUAAAUAGAGACAAUCUUGCACAGGUAGAAAUGUAAAUAUCCCUGUAAGGCUAAGUGAUGAUGCUAAAAUAAGCUGUUGGAGAUAUUUGCCAACUGGUUUAAGCUACACAUUUGAGGAAGCAUGUCCUCUAGGGAGAUCAUUUUGAAUCUUGCAUUUGCCUAAUAAUUCUUCCCCAUUCCUAAAUAUGGGGAAUAUAUUUUAAAAACUGAGGAUUUUGUUAUUUUAAAAUUUUUAUAAUUUUGGAUCUUAUGACUGAGCAAUUCCAAAUAUUUAUUAAAUGUAUGUGUGCGUGCGUGUGUAUUCACCAAACAGCAUGUCUAAGAAUGUUUCAGCAGCAUCAUUUGGAAACAGCCCACAUAACCUACCUGCAGUAGAAUAGAUAAGUAAAUUGUGGUAUAAGGGAAUACUAUAAGGAAUAGUGAUAUAAAGGAAUACUAUACAACAACAAAAAGAAACAAUUAUGACUACCAGCAAGAUGGAUAAGUACCACCAAUGUAAUGUUGAUGAUGGAAACAGAUACAAAAUAGUACAUUGAUACAUAUUCAUGAUUACACAUAUAUUGUUCAAAAUCAGGCAAUUUUGAAGCUGCAAGUCAAGAUAGUAGUUAAUAAUAGAUAAGGAAACAAGGAGCCAUUCAAGGUUCUGGGGUGCUGGAAGUAUUUUCUCUCUUCAUCCAGACAUACAUGGGUGUGUUUAGUUCAGAAAAAUUAAUUGGACUCUACACUUAUGGCUUAUAUGCUAUCCUGUUAGAUAUUGCACUCAGUGGAAAUGUACUGAAACAAAAUAAAGUUGUUUCACAUUUUAAUUUUUACCCAAAGAAAAAAAUUUAAAAAGCUCAUUUUACAUUCUCAUUGUUCUACUAACAGUCAAACAAUAUAAAACAAGCUUAUUUUGUAUAAUAUUUUAAUUCAUUUUGUUAAUACAAAACACAACAUUGAACAAACUAUAAAAAAGUUUAAUGAUUUUUCAUAAAUUAUAAAUUUGUAUCCAAGUAACCAAAACAUAGAUUCAAAAAUAAAAUAAAUAAAUAUAUUCCUAAAUAGAUAUAUGGACAACCAUAGAGAAAUACCCUAUUCUUAUUUAAACAUGACUCUGCUGAUAACCUAUGAAUGAAUAGGUGCUUUUUUAAAAUAUUCAUUGGUUCACAAUAUUUGGAUAAUUUACUUCUGUGUCUACAUAAGAAGGUAGUCGAAAUUAAAAAAAGAAAUAAAAUAUAAGUUUGGUUUUGCUCUUUGUAAUUUGAUACAUGUCAAUAACCAAUUUAAUAACAUUUUAAACAAUACAUUUGGUUUAAAAACUUUCAAGAGAAAAAUUUGCUACCAUGUUGACUCUCUGACUGGUCUUCUUUCCUUAGAGCUCUUUGUCCUAUAACAAAUCCCCCUGCCUCUAUCAUCCACCAGAUAUAUGACUUAGCACAUCACAAAGUCUUGGAAUGCUUUGAUUUCAUGAAGCAAAAUGAUGCCUUCGGCCUCUUAUUUUGGUCAAUUUUAUGAGGCUUCUGUCUCUCUUUUUAUUCCCAUUAAUUCAUUCAUUCAAUAAUUUAUUCUUAGUACAGUGAUAACACAAAGAAUUAUAUAACAUUAUAGUUUCUCCCAAAGAGUUUAAAUGAGUUAAAAGAAAAAUACGCAAGUGACUUAAAUAUUAACUUACAAAAGAGUUCACAAGCAGUAGAUGAAGAAGUUAUAUAGAGAAGAGAGAAAAAUCACAAGUUCCAAAGACAGGAUUCCCAACUUUUUUACUUUAGCAACUAAAACAUGGCUGAGGCAAAAAGAGCAAGAUUUGCCACAAACUGAACUCUUCUUCAGUAUUCUGUAGAGAUAUUUUACAUAAUUUGAUAAUGUUCACUUGUGUUUGGAACUAGUAAUUAUUUUAAAAUAAGGUCCUUAACCCAAGCAAUGUAUACAGCCAAAGCAAAAUAAAACACGCAAGCAAAAACCAGUAUUUUAUGAAAAUUAAAAAUGAAGCCAAUUUCAAUUGUUCAUUGCUUAACUGAGCCUGAAUUGUAUUUUCUUUGUAUAUUUUUGCACUGAACUUCUUGAUUCAGUUAUUAUGCAUUUGGCUACUGGAGAAAUCAACUUUAACUAUUUAAGAGAAAGAAAAGAAAUUUUCUGGGAGAAUCUAAAUGGUUCAGAGAAACUUCUCAAGCCUAAGUAAGUACUGGUCUGGACAAUCAACAAAAAAAUACAGCUACAUGAUCUUAGAAAGUAGAAAGUAUAAUCAUAGUCCUUUAGCAAGUACACCCUGAUCAAGACACUUCCACUGCCUUGAUAGUACACAGCCACUGAAGUUGGGCAUUCUGCCAUUGAAGGAUACUUGUGCCAUCAUUAUGGUAUACUGAUAGUAGCGCAGCCAUUAAGGUUUGCAUCAUUUGCUUAAAAUUUAAAAUCCUAGAUAAAAGUAUCUUAUCAGCAUCAAAUAACCAACUCUUGGUUGCUGGAGUGAAAAGAGAGGCCAGCACUGCCUGCCACCAAAAACAAACAAACAAACAAACAAACAAACAUUCUUUACUAGGAAAGGCAAGUGAAUGAAAGCCAAAUAGAAAAAAAUCUACAUCUGUUUAAUGGCAAAAUGAUCCUGUCUACAAUUGCUUGUCUCAUUAUUUUUCUCUGUUACAGGUCUGUGUUCAACUUGACAGUAGAAACAGCAGCUUAUUGUUGUAUCUCCCAGUGUCUAUGAGAAUGUUUGAGUUUGAACAUGUAAUAGAAGCCUGAUGAAUAGUGGCUAAGUGGAUGAAUAAAUUAAAACAAUUAGUGAAUCAGUUCAAAUCAGAGCCAACCAGAACCAACACUUGUGUAAUAUUUAAAACUCUCAGAAUAUUCUUAUACUUGAAUCUGGACCAAAUCAGCAUUUGGUUUGGCCUUAAAAAUCAAUUUUAAAAAAGACUAAUACCUCAAUGCAAAUGAUCAAAAAACAUAAAUGUAAAGUUUAUAAAAGAAGAAAUACAAAUAUAUCGAUAUACAUAUGAAAAUCUUUUAACGUUGCUGGUUGCUUAGUUAUUAAAAUGCAAAAUAAAGUAAAUAUAAGACACUAUCAGAGUCCAUGGAAUCUAGUUCAAAUCUGGGCACACAAUGUUUAUAUAAUAACCAUUCCAUGUAUUGAAUAUUCUCUUUAUUGAAUAAAAGAAUGACACAAUUCCAAUCUCAGCCAUAAAAAUGGCAGUAAUUGAAUAAAUUAUAAAAGGUAAUAUUUCAAGUAUGUGGUGGGAGGGGAAAUAGGUACAACCUUUCUAGAAAAAAAUCUGGCAAAAUGUAGUAAAAAUCUUUAAGAAGUUAAAGUAAUUCACCUGACUAGUUUAUAUAAGAAAUUGGUGCUUAAAAAACCCAAAGCUGUGCAUAGCUAUUUACAUAUAAGAAUAUUCAUUUCUGUGCUCUUGAUAAUAGUAAUAAGCUGAAAGAUAAUUUAAAUGUUGAAAUGAUGAAAUUAAUUAAAUACACUCACGGGGUGGAAUAUUAUGCAACCAUUAAAACACAUUGUCAAAUAAUAUUUUUCACACUAUAAUGAUUAAUGGAAUAAUAUUUACAAUAUAACGUUCAGCAGAUACAAUUCUGGAUACAAAAUAGUUUCUUAUAUAACAUAUACACAGAUAUAUACUUAAAAAUUA
rnacentral:lncRNA from 1 species